rnacentral:SRP_RNA from 1 species
UACUGGGUGGCCGCCUGAGGCUGGCAACGGUGCCGGGUAAGCACCCGCUGGAG